GAUGCGCAUUGUUCUGCUUUUCAAACCGCACUGUAAUUUCAGUCCUCUGAGAACAUUCUAUCUUGACAAACAAAGAAGUCUCUUUUAAGGGAUCUGACUUGUGUAUGUUCUGUGAGAAACUUGUAGUCCUGCUGGAAAAUAAUCUCUGACAAUUUCAGGUGUAUGGUUACCAGUCCAGAGACAAGAGACUUCAGAGUGAUGUUCCACUGUGCAAUGCAGGACUGGGCAGCCAGUUAGAGGGAGUUUAAGGAUCAACGUGUCUAAAGAGAGAGUGAUUUUCUACAUCCAAUCUUCACAAGCUCCCCUGCUGUUCGAGAGAGGCCAACUCUGCACUUCUGACCCCGAAACCCCUCGCUAGGAGUGCUAUUACACAUCAGAUGAGGUUAUUGCAUGUAGGAGUGCAUAGCGUGUCUUUCUGUGAGUCUUUUCAACUGAAUGUCUCACUCUGAGUUGUGGAACCGGCUGGAUCCAGCUCCAUUCCUGCUUUGUGUUGUUCUCCACUGCUAUGUGUCACUGUGUGAUGAUGACUAAUAGCAGCCGGUGCCAGCCAAACAUCACUUCAGUCUAUUACGAUGGACUUCAGAGGAUAAACUGAUGCCAACUCCAACCAUAAGACAUGGGAUACUUCAUAUGCCAUUGCCUGAACCUUGGACUUAUGGUAGACCUCACUGAAAUUACUGACCAGGUUGAACUGCGAUGCACCUAACUGAUCUCUGCUUGCAUCACCUCAGUCUAAUAAUGGACUACACUCUUGAAAUGGAAUACAUAGACUUUCAAUUAAUUGCCAACAAAACCCUUCAUCAGCCAACUAACAAGGACAAUUGCAUCUAUGUGAACUUCUGCAGUUAAUCCAGCAUGAACUUCAAAGACAUUAGUCAUUAAUCUUACAAUUCAUACAAAAUCUUUGUUUUAAACACUGACCCUUUACACUUAGCUUAAUAAUUUUAAACCAUGACUUGCACUAUACAUAAGUAAUAUUGGCAUUAUAUUCAUGAUGUUAGCCAGAGGGGAACUGGCCCCUACAGUGAGUCUGGUUUCUCCCAAGGUUAUUUUUCUCCAUUAAACAACAUCUUAUGAAGUUUUGUAUUCCUUGCCACAGUCGCCUUCGGCUUGCUCACUGGAGUUAUAAAUACAAUUAUUAUUUAGUUACUUAUUUUUAAACACAAUUCACAAUCGUAUUUUAUCAAACUACACAAUGAUGACUCUAAGACAUUAUAGAUAUCACAGUUUUUUCUUCUGUUUAUGCCUGAUUUUCUGUAAAGCUGCUUUGAAACGAUGUGUGUUGUGAAAGGCACUAUACAAAUAAAAAUGACUUGACUCAUCUGACAUGCGUAUCUGUGUUUCAUGUUCGUGUCGAACAUGAAACAGCUGACCAUCUCUGGAGCAUGGAGAUGCAAAUCAUUUUUGACCCGAAUUGAUAAAAGAAAGACAUCUCCACAGAACUGGAUGAAUCCUAAACAAGAUAAGAAAAUUAAGAGGAACUUGUUAAAACAGGUGUGACAUCUGUGGUGUGGGUUCACAAAAGCCAACACA